AGUACUACGUGUACUAAAAUUAGAACGAUACGGGAAAGAUCAGCGUGGUCCCUGCGCAAGGAUGACACACAAAAUCGCGAAGCGUUCCAAAUUUUU
rnacentral:snRNA from 1 species